rnacentral:tRNA from 1 species
GGGCCGGUGGCGGAAUGGUAUACGCUCGACACUUAAAAUGUCGUGAGGGAAACCUCAUGAGGGUUCGAUCCCCUCCCGGCCCACCA